UGGGGAAUAUUGCACAAUGGAGGGAACUCUGAUGCAGCAACGCCGCGUGCGGGAUGACGGCCUUCGGGUUGUAAACCGCUUUCAGCCAUGACGAAGCUUUUGUGACGGUAGUGGUAGAAGAAGCACCGGCUAACUACGUACCAGCAGCCGCGGUGAUACGUAGGGUGCGAGCGUUGUCCGGAAUUAUUGGGCGUAAAGAGCUUGUAGGCGGUUUGUCGCGUCGAUAGUGUAAACACGCAGCUUAACUGUGUGCCUGCUGUCGAUACGGGCUGACUAGAGGAGGGUAGGGGAGAAUGGAAUUCCCGGUGGAGCGGUGGAAUGCGCAGAUAUCGGGAGGAACACCAGUGGCGAAGGCGGUUCUCUGGACCUUUCCUGACGCUGAGAAGCGAAAGCGUGGGUAGCAAACAGG
rnacentral:rRNA from 1 species